rnacentral:rRNA from 1 species
GAUGAACGCUGGCGGCGUGCCUAAUACAUGCAAGUCGAGCGAAUGGAUUAAGAGCUUGCUCUUAUGAAGUUAGCGGCGGACGGGUGAGUAACACGUGGGUAACCUGCCCAUAAGACUGGGAUAACUCCGGGAAACCGGGGCUAAUACCGGAUAACAAUUUGAACCGCAUGGUUCGAAAUUGAAAGGCGGCUUCGGCUGUCACUUAUGGAUGGACCCGCGUCGCAUUAGCUAGUUGGUGAGGUAACGGCUCACCAAGGCAACGAUGCGUAGCCGACCUGAGAGGGUGAUCGGCCACACUGGGACUGAGACACGGCCCCGACUCCUACGGGAGGCAGCAGUAGGGAAUCUUCCGCAAUGGACGAAAGUCUGACGGAGCAACGCCGUGUGAGUGAUGAAGGCUUUCGGGUCGUAAAACUCUGUUGUUAGGGAAGAACAAGUGCUAGUUGAAUGAGCUGGCACCUUGACGGUACCUAACUAGAAAGCCACGGCUAACUACGUGCCAGCCGCCGCAGUAA